rnacentral:tRNA from 1 species
CCUCUCGUGGUGUAAAGGUAACGCGUCCUAUCUAGUAAACGGGAAGUCGUGAGUUCGAUUCUCACCGAGAAGA